AAGUCGUAACAAGGUUUCCGUAGGUGAACCUGCGGAAGGAUCAUUAACAAUGGGAGACCAACCUUGUGAAUCAGGGGAAAAGAGCCGAGGCUCGAUUCCUUUUUUUAUAAGCAUUAGACUGAAUUCAUAAAAAUUACAAAAUACAAUUUUUAACAAUGGAUCUCUAGGCUCUU
rnacentral:misc_RNA from 1 species